rnacentral:lncRNA from 10 species
AGACUAUCCCCUCUGGUUAGGGGUUUGACUUUGCCUGUUUGGCAGGCAUUCCCUAUGCCAACAGUUGGGAGUGUAGACGGGUAGGGAAGGUCAGCAAAGUAUGCACACACCCCUCAAACGUCUGCCAGCUAGGUGGGUUCACUACAUGCAUUAUAGGUCAUACCCACCCACAUCUGCUCUUACCACUUUCCUUCCUAGUUCAAAGGCACCUCCUUCCACCACUUCAGAAUAACUCACAAGCUGCUGCCCUGCCAACUCCCAUGUCCUCAGCACACUUUGAGUCUCUUUUCAAGGCCCACAGAUUCAAAGGUAUAUGAUCCUGUGAAGACGGGGGCAGAUUUUCUGACAGAGCUUGCAAGAUGAGGCUUGAGAACCCAGGAGAUUCGGCCACACUGUUGAGACAGGGUCUCACUCUGUUGCUGAGGCUGUAGUGAAGUGGCAGAAUCAUAGCUCUCUGCAACCUUGCACUCCUGGGCUCAAGCAAUCCUGAUACCUCAGCCUCUCGAGUAGCUGGGACUAUAGGAAUACGCCACUGUACCUGGCACUCCAUAUUUUUCUAAAUGUUUGUUUCAGAUGAUGUUCUACCCAUAACGUACUCACUCAGUACCACAAAUUACUAUUUGAUAUUUUGUUUUCACAUUAAAAUUGUCUUUAUGAAAAACAAAUAGAACUGAAUUUUGUCAAGUCUUAAAAGUGAUCUCUAGAAUGCCUCUGUAUUCCAUUUGCAAAUAUGUACUACCAAGACUUUAUUUUGAGAAUUGUACUAUGAAAGCCUUUACAUGCGGUUGUCAAAGCGGUAAAUGAAAUAGGAUGUGCAGAAAAAGAAAACAUAAUAAUAGUAAUAAUAAUAAUAACAACAGCUCAAAGAGAGGUCUGGUCUUCGUUUUUAGUUACUUGGAAGUAACUUCUAAACACUUGGAAUUUUGAGAGUGAUUGGAAUGUCUUUGUUAUUCAUGGUAAUCCCCUCGUACCACAUCUGAUAAUUAAUGCCAAUGAGAUGACUCAGAAAGGAGCAAGCCAUGCCAGAAAGACAAAACGUAUGAUUGUAGUUUUGUCUAGUUUUGGAGUUUGGGGCCAAGUGAUAUCAGCCUCACCUCCCAGGAUUGGGGUGCUAGAGAUCAAGCUCAACUGUGUGGAUGCUGAUUCCAUUAAUCCUGACUAUGUAAUGAAACCCCAAUAAAAUCACUAGCCCCUAGAGACUCUGAUGAGCUUUCUGGGUUGCCAAUACUCUGGUCAUAUUGUCACACAUCUAUCUAUUUGUAGAGCUUAAUGCACGCCUGAUGCAAAGAGAGAUUCAAGUUUUGGGAUCCUCCCAGUUUCCAUCCUACGCAUUUUUUUCUUUAGAUGGUUCUAAUUUGUAUCCUUUGCUAUAAUAAAACUGUAAUUGUAAAUACAGCACUUCCUGAGUUCUAUGACUUGUUUUAGUGAACUGUUAAACCUGAGGGUGGUUGUGGGAAUCCCCAAAUGUGUAGCCAGCUGGUCUGAAGUGAGGGUGGCUCUGGAAACUCCCAAACUGUCAGUUAGUGUCUGAACUGAAGGUGAUAUUGUGGGGACAGUUCUCUUAAACCUCACAGUUGGACAGUCUCA